GUGUAAUAGAAAAUUUUUUAUUGAUGAUAUGGUGACCAGUAAAAAAACUGAUUCUCUUCUUAAGAUGUUAACUCACAUAUGUGUUAUGUGCAAGCGAAAAUUUAAUAUGUUAAAAGAGUAUGAAAUAUUCAACACUCAUAAAAACUUAUGUAAUAACGAAUUCUUAUUAUCAACGUCAUUAUUGGCUUCAUCAAAUAAUCUAAAUAAAAGUAUAAAUGAUAUCUUUGAAAUAAAUAAAGACAGUGAUAUUCCACAAGAGGUAGAAGAAGCAGCCCUUCAUAUUCUUAAGUAAAUAUUGGCAAAAAGUGGACAAAAAACAAUUGAGUUUAAAAGUAGAGGACCUCGACCCAUGAUUUUUACUCAUGUACCAAAAGCUUAUGUCGAUAGUGCUCAGGACUAAACCACUCUGAAAUAAGUGCAAGUGUGAUGGUUGCAAUGAAAACAGAUAUGGGAGUACCAUGGGAAAAACUUAAAAUUAUGUCUAGCAUAUUUGAAUCAAAAGACCUCAGAGCUGAUGUAAAAGUAGCCAUGGCAAAA